UCUAGCACCAUUUGAAAUCAGUGUUCUUGGGG
ensembl:miRNA microRNA 29b-1